CUACGUGCCAGCAGCCGCGGUAAUACGGAAGGUCCGGGCGUUAUCCGGAUUUAUUGGGUUUAGAGGGAGCGUAGGCCGGAGAUUAAGUGUGUUGUGAAAUGUAGACGCUCAACGUCUGACUUGCAGCGCAUACUGGUUUCCUUGAGUACGCACAACGUUGGCGGAAUUCGUCGUGUAGCGGUGAAAUGCUUAGAUAUGACGAAGAACUCCGAUUGCGAAGGCAGCUGACGGGAGCGCAACUGACGCUUAAGCUCGAAGGUGCGGGUAUCAAACAGGAUUAGAUACCCUGGUAGUCCGCACAGUAAACGAUGGAUGCCCGCUGUUGGUACCUGGUAUCAGCGGCUAAGCGAAAGCAUUAAGCAUCCCACCUGGGGAGUACGCCGGCAACGGUGAAACUCAAAGGAAUUGACGGGGGCCCGCACAAGCGGAGGAACAUGUGGUUUAAUUCGAUGAUACGCGAGGAACCUUACCCGGGCUUGAAUUGCAGAGGAAGAAUUUAGAGAUA
rnacentral:rRNA from 1 species